rnacentral:rRNA from 1 species
AACGAACGCUGGCGGCAGGCCUAACACAUGCAAGUCGAACGCUGUAGCAAUACAGAGUGGCAGACGGGUGAGUAACGCGUGGGAACAUACCCUCGGUUCGGAAUAACUCAGGGAAACUUGAGCUAAUACCGGAUACGUGCGAGAGCAGAAAGAUUCAUCGCCGAAGGAUUGGCCCGCGUUCGAUUAGCUUGUUGGUGAGGUAAUGGCUCACCAAGGCGACGAUCGAUAGCUGGUCUGAGAGGAUGAUCAGCCACAUUGGGACUGAGACACGGCCC